AUGGUGAACAGUGAUAACGUCGGCCUGCUGUGUUACGGUGAUGAGGAGUUCAUAGUGGCCGAGCUCUAUUCAUGGGGCGAGCUCUCCCUGCUGCACUAUGCGCCUGGGAAGGCCAUGGAAUGGGAAUUUAGAGCGUUGCAGAUGCCUUAUGGCAAGGACGUCCCUGACUUUCUGUAUGGUUCCUGGAAUACCGACUUCGUCAUCCCCUUUGGCAAUUCCUUGUGCUGGGUCGAUUGCUACCUCGGCUUGCUGUUUGUCAGCGUGCAUGGAGAUCUUACAAAGCCGCCCCGCUAUGUCUCAAUGCCAGCAGAUCUGGACACUCGUCGUCUCUAUAUUGACCCAGGGGUCCCUGAUCCAGCACGCCGUGUCUGUGUCACUGACAGCGGCAUGAUUAAGCUCAUUUGUAUCAGCGAUGCUGCAGGCCGCAGCGUGCAUAUACAUUCUUCUGAUUUCAAAAUCAGGACAUGGAAUCUGUCUGACGGGAUAUGGAAAAAAGAUGCCACCAUGGAAGCCCAUGAGCUCGAGAAUGUUUUUUCCUCUGACAAGCGCCUGCCUGCUCCUGCCAAAGUUUCCUAUCAUGAACUUGGUUGA
rnacentral:rRNA from 1 species